GUGCACAACCAAUCUCUACAUUUUUCUCAUAGAUUUUGUUAACAAAGGGAAUCCAACGCCCGUAACCCCACCCCCCUUUNCUUNCCCCAACGUGGGGAAUUUUUCCGCAAGGGGGGAAAGCCCGACGGAGCAAUACCGCGUGAGGGAGGAAGGCUCCUGGGUUGUAAACCUCUUUUUCCAAGGAAUAAUUCAAUGAAGGUACUUGAGGAAUAAGCAUCGGCUAACUCCGUGCCAGCAGCCGCGGUAAUACGGAGGAUGCAAGCGUUAUCCGGAAUGAUUGGGCGUAAAGGGUCCGCAGGUGGCAAUGUAAGUCUGCUGUCAAAGAAUGAGGCUCAACCUCAUCAAGGCAGUGGAAACUACGUAGCUAGAGUACGGUCGGGGUAGAAGGAAUUCCUGGUGUAGCGGUGAAAUGCGUAGAGAUCAGGAAGAACACCGGUGGCGAAAGCGUUCUGCUAGGCCUGUACUGCCACUGAGGGACGAAAGCUAGGGGAGCGAAUGGGAUUAGAUACCCCAGUAGUCCUAGCCGUAAACGAUGGAUACUAGGCGUGGCUUGUAUCGACCCGAGCCGUGCCGGAGCCAACGCGUUAAGUAUCCCGCCUGGGGAGUACGCACGCAAGUGUGAAACUCAAAGGAAUUGACGGGGGCCCGCACAAGCGGUGGAGUAUGUGGUUUAAUUCGAUGCAACGCGAAGAACCUUACCAAGACUUGACAUGUCGCGAAUCUUCUUGAAAGGGGAGAGUGCCUUCGGGAGCGCGAACACAGGUGGCCAUGGCGUUGUCA
rnacentral:rRNA from 1 species